rnacentral:rRNA from 1 species
CCUACGGGUGGCAGCAGUGAGGAAUAUUGGUCAAUGGCCGGAAGGCUGAACCAGCCAAGCCGCGUGAAGGACGAAGGUGCCAAGCAUUGUAAACUUCUUUUGUCAAGGAACAAAAUCAGGCUCGAGAGCCUGACCGAGUGUACUUGAAGAAAAAGCAUCGGCUAACUCCGUGCCAGCAGCCGCGGUAAUACGGAGGAUGCGAGCGUUAUCCUGAUUUAUUGGGUGUAAAGGGUGCUGAGGCGGACUGUUAAGUCAGCGGUAAAAGCCCGGGGCUCAACCCCGGCGAGCCGUUGAAACUGGCGGUCUUGAGAUGUCGAGAGGUAUGCGGAAUGCGCGGUGUAGCGGUGAAAUGCUUAGAUAUUGCGCAGAACUCCGAUUGCGAAGGCAGCAUACCGGCGGCGAUCUGACGCUGAGGCACGAAAGCGUGGGUAUCGAACAGGAUUAGAUACCCCUGUAGUC